GUUAUUUGAGGUAAUAAAUUGUGUCAACUACGCACUCUAUGAGACAAAAAGAGAUGCAAGAAAUGAUACACCUACCAAAUAAC
rnacentral:ncRNA from 1 species